AUGAACGCUGGCGGCGUGCCUAAUACAUGCAAGUCGAGCGAACGGACGAGAAGCUUGCUUCUCUGAUGUUAGCGGCGGACGGGUGAGUAACACGUGGAUAACCUACCUAUAAGACUGGGAUAACUUCGGGAAACCGGAGCUAAUACCGGAUAAUAUUUUGAACCGCAUGGUUCAAAAGUGAAAGACGGUCUUGCUGUCACUUAUAGAUGGAUCCGCGCUGCAUUAGCUAGUUGGUAAGGUAACGGCUUACCAAGGCAACGAUGCAUAGCCGACCUGAGAGGGUGAUCGGACACACUGGAACUGAGACAAGGUCCAGACUCCUACGGGAGGCAGCAGUAGGGAAUCUUCCGCAAUGGGCGAAAGCCUGACGGAGCAACGCCGCGUGAGUGAUGAAGGUCUUCGGAUCGUAAAACUCUGUUAUUAGGGAAGAACAUAUGUGUAAGUAACUGUGCACAUCUUGACGGUACCUAAUCAGAAAGCCACGGCUAACUACGUG
rnacentral:rRNA from 1 species